UCGAGCGGACCGACGGGAGCUUGCUCCCUUAGGUCAGCGGCGGACGGGUGAGUAACACGUGGGUAACCUGCCUGUAAGACUGGGAUAACUCCGGGAAACCGGGGCUAAUACCGGAUGCUUGAUUGAACCGCAUGGUUCAAUUAUAAAAGGUGGCUUUCAGCUACCACUUGCAGAUGGACCCGCGGCGCAUUAGCUAGUUGGUGAGGUAACGGCUCACCAAGGCGACGAUGCGUAGCCGACCUGAGAGGGUGAUCGGCCACACUGGGACUGAGACACGGCCCAGACUCCUACGGGAGGCAGCAGUAGGGAAUCUUCCGCAAUGGACGAAAGUCUGACGGAGCAACGCCGCGUGAGUGAUGAAGGUUUUCGGAUCGUAAAACUCUGUUGUUAGGGAAGAACAAGUACCGUUCGAAUAGGGCGGUACCUUGACGGUACCUAACCAGAAAGCCACGGCUAACUACGUGCCAGCAGCCGCGGUAAUACGUAGGUGGCAAGCGUUGUCCGGAAUUAUUGGGCGUAAAGCGCGCGCAGGCGGUUUCUUAAGUCUGAUGUGAAAGCCCCCGGCUCAACCGGGGAGGGUCAUUGGAAACUGGGGAACUUGAGUGCAGAAGAGGAGAGUGGAAUUCCACGUGUAGCGGUGAAAUGCGUAGAGAUGUGGAGGAACACCAGUGGCGAAGGCGACUCUCUGGUCUGUAACUGACGCUGAGGCGCGAAAGCGUGGGGAGCGAACAGGAUUAGAUACCCUGGUAGUCCACGCCGUAAACGAUGAGUGCUAAGUGUUAGAGGGUUUCCGCCCUUUAGUGCUGCAGCAAACGCAUUAAGCACUCCGCCUGGGGAGUACGGUCGCAAGACUGAAACUCAAAGGAAUUGACGGGGGCCCGCACAAGCGGUGGAGCAUGUGGUUUAAUUCGAAGCAACGCGAAGAACCUUACCAGGUCUUGACAUCCUCUGACAACCCUAGAGAUAGGGCUUCCCCUUCGGGGGCAGAGUGACAGGUGGUGCAUGGUUGUCGUCAGCUCGUGUCGUGAGAUGUUGGGUUAAGUCCCGCAACGAGCGCAACCCUUGAUCUUAGUUGCCAGC
rnacentral:rRNA from 1 species